rnacentral:rRNA from 1 species
CCUACGGGUGGCAGCAGUGAGGAAUAUUGGUCAAUGGACGAGAGUCUGAACCAGCCAAGUAGCGUGAAGGAUGACUGCCCUAUGGGUUGUAAACUUCUUUUAUAAAGGAAUAAAACGAGGCACGUGUGCCUUUUUGCAUGUACUUUAUGAAUAAGGAUCGGCUAACUCCGUGCCAGCAGCCGCGGUAAUACGGAGGAGCCGAGCGUUAUCCGGAUUUAUUGGGUUUAAAGGGAGCGUAGAUGGGUUGUUAAGUCAGUUGUGAAAGUUUGCGGCUCAACCGUAAAAUUGCAAUUGAUACUGGCAGUCUAGAGUACAGUUGAGGUAGGCGGAAUUCGUGGUGUAGCGGUGAAAUGCUUAGAUAUCACGAAGAACCCCGAUUGCGAAGGCAGCUUACUAAACUGUGACUGACAUUGAUGCUCGAAAGUGUGGGUAUCAAACAGGAUUAGAUACCCCUGUAGUC